GACGUCUUUGGAGCUGAAGAAUGAGGACAGCUUUUGUAUGCUAACGUACACUCCUUAACAGUUGUACUGGAUGAAAACACAGCAAGAAAACGCAUGCCAAUAUUGACUGAACAACAACUGCAUUUCCACCCCCAUCUCUAAGGCAUAGUAUCAUGGCUGGUCACCUGUCAAGUCACAUGUCAGGCAGACUUUGCAAUGCCUCCGUGUGCGACUACCUUGAGAAGCAGUUUGAGGGACUUUGCAGGGAAAAUGUCGUGCAGUGAGGCGUAGGGGAUUGUCUACAGCAGGACGACCCCCAGUGGAUGGGCGCCGAGGGGUGUGGUGCUCCUCCAGCAGCUCUCUCAUGAGGCUCUCUCUGUAUUUUUGGUGGUCCACCUUCCCUGUGGCCGACAUGGUUGCUGUAUGGACAGUGGAGAGGACAUGGACGUCUCGCUUGUCAUGCCACUUUACUGCCAGCUGUUGACCGUUCUCUUGGAACUCCACCUCCCCUCUCUGCAUCUUCCUGCAUCCGAAUGCCGGCAUCCCCUUCCUGUUCGACCUGACUGUGCCACAUGCCCCUGUGCUGUUGGAGAGCAGAUGCUGGAAGAGUGCGGGACUGCUGUACCAAUUG